GAAGAAUCCAUUCAACAUGGCGGAGACUCGCAAGCGACCGAGCAAACUUAAUGGAACAAUUUGCUGAGCUGGAUGCUGAAUACAAAAGAGUGAGCCUCAACACUUAAGGUUUGUGCUGAGUUUCACCAUAUCAGAGAAAGUGGCACACACCAGCAAGAUUUCACAGAUGUUGCAUGACAUUCUAAAUGUUUGAUCUUCAGGUGAGUGCAAAUUCACAAACACU